rnacentral:rRNA from 1 species
GACGAACGCUGGCGGCGUGCUUAACACAUGCAAGUCGAACGAGUGGCGAACGGGUGAGUAACACGUGGGGGAACCGUCCCGACACUCGGGGAAAGCCUGGGGAAAUGGGGCUAAACCCGGGUAGUGUGGGAGGGGCCCGCGGCGUAUGAGCUGGUUGGUGGGGUAAUGGGUACCAAGGCGCGACGGGUAGCCGGCCUGAGAGGGUGGACGGCCACAUUGGGACUGAGACACGGCCCAGACUCCUACGGGAGGCAGCAGUGGGGAAUAUUGCACAAUGGGCGAAAGCCUGAUGCAGCCAUGCCGCGUGUAUGAAGAAGGCCUUAGGGUUGUAAAGUACUUUCAGCGGGGAGGCGUUACCCGCAGAAGAAGCACCGGCUAACUCCGUGCCAGCAGCCGCGGUAAUAC